GUGCGCGAGUCAUUGGGACUAACGAAACCUAAAGGCGUAAUGAAAGUGAAGGCUGGCCUUGCGCCAGCCGAGGGAGGAUGGGCCGCGGCAACGUGGCCCCGCACUCCCGGGGCGUCUCGUUCGCAUUGCGCGAAGAGGCGCACCUAGAGCGUACACGCUGGGACCCGAAAGAUGGUGAACUAUGCCUGGUCAGGACGAAGUCAGGGGAAACCCUGAUGGAGGUCCGUAGCGAUUCUGACGUGCAAAUCGAUCGUCGGAACUGGGUAUAGGGGCGAAAGACUAAUCGAACCAUCUAGUAGCUGGUUCCCUCCGAAGUUUCCCUCAGGAUAGCUGGCGCUCGUGUUACGAGUCUCAUCCGGUAAAGCGAAUGAUUAGAGGCAUUGGGGUCGAAACGGCCUCAACCUAUUCUCAAACUUUAAAUGGGUGAGAUCUUCGGCUUGCUUAAAGCAUGAAGCCGCAAGAAUUCGGAUCAGAGUGCCAAGUGGGCCACUUUUGGUAAGCAGAACUGGCGCUGUGGGAUGAACCAAACGCCGAGUUAAAGCGCCUAAAUCGACGCUUAUGGGAUACCAUGAAAGGCGUUGGUAACUUAAGACAGCAGGACGGUGGCCAUGGAAGUCGGA
rnacentral:rRNA from 1 species